rnacentral:rRNA from 1 species
AUGGUGAGUACUAAUUUGGUUCGAAUCCAGGGCACACUUCAUGGCACCCUUGUUAAUUCUGUGCUUGUCUCCAUCCCCAAUUACUUCAUGGCAUGCUUCAUCUGGCCACAACAAUCCCUGGACAAGCUGGAGCGAAUACUACGGGGCUUUCUUUGGCAAGGGAAGAACUCGACAAAUGAUGGACACUGCUUGAUAGCGUGGGAUUUUGUCACUCUACCAAAGCUUAAUGGAGGGUUUGGCCUCAGAAACUUGAAAGAACACAACAUGGCAAUGAUCUGCAAGCUUACAUCCAAUAUUUUGCAAGGCCACGGAGCCCCAUGCUAUGAAUGGUUCGCCAGAAGAUACUGCAGCAGCACUCUUCCAGAUUGUAAACGGAGUGGGGACACUCCCAUUUGGAGCUGCGUGCAGUCAACCAUACAGCAUGUUAUUUAA